CCUACCUGUGCAACCUGCUCUAGGGAACCUGCUUUGGCAGGGGGUUGGCCCCAAGGAUCUCUUGAGGUCCCUUCCAACCCCUACAGUUCUGUGAUUCUGUGAUUCUGUGAAAUGCCAAGACAUUCCCAAUGCAAGACCCUCUGGUUUCUCUAAGUUCAUCUCCCUUCUGUGUUGGAAUUCAGGAGAGCCAUCACUGUCAGAGGUAUCUGUAGGGAAGAGUGGGUACAGAAA
rnacentral:lncRNA from 1 species